ensembl:lncRNA
ACAUGUUAUAUUUGUUCCUAUCUGUGUGUGUAUAUUCUUUUCUUUGUGUACCUAGCCCCACAGGUGUGCAAUAAACCCAGAGAAAUCCCAGAAACGGUGUUGAACCCAGCACCUUCAACGUCUGGUGACACUGGUAAAAUUUCUUAUUUUGAAUAGUGAUUGACAUAUGUACGUGAAAUAAUAAUCUUGCAUUCAUUAUCUUGUUGUAGUUGAUGGCUCAUAAAAGAAUUUCUUACAUGCUGUUUCAAAUGAAUUUCCUUCUAUAGAUAGUGCUUAUUUUUCUUGCAUUUAAUAUGCAUUCUAUGUAGUGUUUUGUCUGAAACCUGUUAAAAUCCCUAUAGAACCUCAGAAAAGAGUUGACAACAAGAAAGCCAAUCGAAGGUCAACAGAUGCAACUUUUCCUGACCCGUGUGGACCACCGUGCGAAGCUCUGACAAAGCCUGAGAACAUUUUGGCCAGCCGUUCAUCAUGGUGUUUUGUACCGCACCCUGGCCAACAACAGCUUCUCAACUAUGUUCUGGACAUCAGCAGACCCAAAGAUGAGCUGAUUGUUGAAACGUCUUCUGGAUGCCUCACGCGGUCAGAUUUUUGGACACUGGGUUUAAACAAAGAAAUGGAAUCGACUAUUGGAAAUGGCUGUUUUGAGCUUAUCACUAAAAUUGUUCAGUCAAAGGUACUGUAUGUUGUAUAUGAUGAUUGUCAAGCUUUAAUUUAAAGAGCUGUUGUUUUAAAUGUUUUUUUGUUUUUUUUUUUUACAUUCUAGGGGAUAAGCAUUUACAUCGAAAAUCUGUAUGUCACCCGGACUUGGCUUGCACCCUAUGGCUGUGAUCCAUUGCGGUCCUUUCCUACUGAUGCUCAGAGGAUGGACAUCAUAGUUCUCCCUCUCUGGACACCUGGUCAUUUCCAGUUGUGUGUAAGUCUUGUUUUUUGACACGUACAAACUGUUAGAAUUUUGCUAUGUGUCUGAGAUGUAUUCAAGCUUUUAUGACGCAGUUUCAAAAGUCUUUGACUGUGAUCGCUUGCAAUGACAUUGUUUUCAGGUUUGAAGUCAUGGCUAACUGUCUUUUAGGUACUGAAGCCACCUAAAAGAGAAAUCCUCUUUCUUGACCCAUUAUACACCAAGGCAGGAUUUGGUGGCCAACAAUAUGUUUCACUUUUGAGGUCACAUUUUUAUAAGCAUUUUUGGUUUGUUCCGGAGUUUUCAGGAACCUGUUCAGUGUUCCAGGUUAAGUGCAUCCCAGAUCAUGUUCUGCUGAUCUUGAGUGUUCACACAUACAGUACACUCACAUGCUUUUUCUAUAAACUAUAUCAGCAAGUUUCUGUGUGGAGUUUGCAUGUUCUCCCCAUGUUUGCGUGAGUUCCCUCCGGGUACUCCGGCUUCCUCCCACCGUCUAAAGACAUGCAGCUUGUGGGGAUAGGUUAAUUGGAUAAUCCAAAUUGCCACUAGGUGUGAAUGUGGGAGUGAAUGUGAGUGUGAAUGGUUGUCUGUCCCUGUGUGUUAGCCCUGCGACAGACUGGCGACCUGUCCAGUCUGUCGCCCUAUGACAGCUGGGAUAGGCUCCAGCGCCCCCCGUGACCCUGAAAAGGAUAAGCGGAAGCGAAUGGAUGGAUGGAUGGAUGGAUGGAUGGAUAUAUCAGCAUGAUGCUUCAACAUUUUAUUCUCAUCUUCAAAUUAUGAUCAAGUCAGUGAUACUGUCUGUAGAUGAGUUUCAGACAUAAAUUGGGUCUUCCAGUGUUCUAUUUUAACAUAAAACACCAUUAAAAAUUAUUUUAUAAAAUAUGCCAACAUUAACUUAAAGCUGUAAAUGCUUUAUUUUGACCAACUGUGAGCAUGUGACUGUACUUUUUCAUUUUGUUAUGCUGUUUUUUUGAGGUCGUGUUCCUAAGGCCUGUAGUUACAGUUGGUGCUAUUAGCAAUAAACAUUUCACACCCAUCAUGAUCAUCAUCUGUUAACUUGUGAAUGUAACUGUUUUUUUUAAAAAAAAAAGGAAUCUUGCAGUGAAGAUCAUUCCCGGGCAGUGGUCAGAAAAAAAGAGCUGUGACUUGAAGGGUUUUCCAAGCCAAGACUAUGGAGUUGACUGUGGGAUCUUCAUGCUGAUGUCUGCUCUGUACGUGGCACUGGAUGCUUCAUUUGACUAUACUAUAUCAGACAUGCCCUACUUGCGUAAAUGGUGGUGCUUGCUGUUGAUGGAGAACUUUGAUCUCAGGAGCUCUGGCAAGCUAUUUGCACACUGGAGAGAGGAAGCCAAAGCUGUGCUUGAAGGACAACACGUGCCCAUUUUCAGAGUGAAAAAGCGCAAGUUACAGGAAGUCAGUCAGGAGCCAGCAGUUGUUGCAGAUCUGCGUCCUGCUGUGCAGUGGGUUGUCCAAAAUAAGGCACUUUUCCGUGGACACGUAACAAUGCCCAAAUAUGUGUCCUUAAAUCAAGGAGACCAGCAGAGGGUCUUAAGAGACAUGUCAGAGGAAGAAGACACUGGAGCAAGGGACUUGUUCCUCUUUGUUUUUCAGUUUGCAGAGGACAUGGAGCUCUUUUUGAAUGCAUGUGCUGAUGAGCAGGGGCUAAGGGUCAGUGCUAUGUUUGACAUGUGAUGGACAAAUGAAGGCACUGGCUGUGUUUGUUUGUUUGUUUAAUAUGUUGUUGUUGUUGUUGUUUUUGCGUAGUACAAAAUUCCUAUUAAACUUAUUUCAAAAUGUUGUUCACUUGAUUCUGUGUCCAUACUUAUAAUAAAGGAUUACAGUGUAACAGCAUUAAAUGUAAAAGCAUUUUUUUUAAACUUGUAAUUUCAAAAUAAAAAGCUUAUUGUUGAUAUUAACAGUAAAUAA